AUUGCACACUUCACUUCUGACAAGUCAAUCUACUGCUUAACGGGACCACAAAACUGUAUUUCAGAAUCCUGAAAUAUAGAGGGUCAAUACAGAUGUACUGGUAUGUGAAACAACUCAAAAUAACAUAUUUUUUUAUACAAAAUAAAUGAGAGAAUUUCAUAAAGUCAAGGAUCAUAAUACGUAAGUAAAAUGCAUGGGCAUACCUCAGUGACUCCAAGGCACUUCUUUGAAAAAUAUGACUCACUGUUUAUCUUAAUCCUGAGAUAGAUGGUCCACCCUACAUUUCUAUGAUCCCACGGAUUAUAUAGAAUCUGCCCUUAACUCGGCGGCCAAGCCUCCAAUCCAAGUAUACCGCAAGGAUUGAAGUCCUAAUUUCUAUUCUAGUAAACCAGUGUCUCAAGGACAAGUAUACAUUAACUUUAGCCAAUUAUAUCACUCGAAUCAGCAAAUUUGAUUAUUCCGGCGAUGAGUCCUCACACUCAAACGCCUUCUUCGGGUAACCAUCUACCUCUCUUUAAGUCCAAUUUUAGUUCUUUAAAACUAUUCAUCAUGCAUUCAAAACGUUCAUCAUUUAUUCUGUUAAGGGCAUAGUAUCACCGGGUAUCAUCAUACACUGACUUGCAAGUCCAUAUCAUUUCAAAUUCACAGCCCAUCAUAUUCAAAACAUGCACAUGACCACCCAAAAUUUCAUAACAUUACAAUAGAGUCAUCACUUUGAAACCUCAAGAACAUUUGGGCAUUUACCCUCUCUUUACAAGAUUCAAAACAAUGUGGUGGUCAUGUCAAUUUAAUCAAUCAAAUGCAAUUCUUUCCCUUUUAAAGCAAGAAUAUAGUUAUAGCAAGAAACUCCCUCUCAUCAUAUAUAAACCAUGUCAAACACCAUGAUAUUUGAGAAGAUCACUUUCAAAUCUUAAAACAUGCAUUUCAAAUUAUUCACACUGAAUAAUAUGAACUUUAGUUCAUAACAAGAGAGGGAGUUCAUACUCAUGCUCUUAGUUAAUGUUACAAAUAUGCACAAAAUCAUAUAUAUAUAUAUAGUUAUAAUUCAAUUUCCAUGAAACGUAAUUCAAAUCAACAUAUAUUUCCAUCAAAACAGUCCCAUGAUGCAUAAUCUUCAAAAAUCAUAUCAUACACUUCAUUAUAAAUCAAAAUUGGGGAUCUUUAAUCCUGACAAAAUAUUUAAACUUAUGCCCAAGGUUUUUAGAGUAGUCCCACAUACCUUAGAUUAUAAGAUUUGAAAGAUGGAACCCGGAUCUUGAUCCUUUUCUUGAAAUCUUGAACUUAAGAUCUUGAUUCUUA
rnacentral:lncRNA from 1 species